rnacentral:rRNA from 1 species
UAAGACGAACUGCCCAAACGUUGUUCGGAAUCACUGGGCUUAAAGGGCGCGUAGGCGGCUUACCAAGUCAGGGGUGAAAUCCGGCAGCUUAACUGUCGAAGUGCCUUUGAUACUGGUGAGCUCGAGGGAGGUAGGGGUCCGUGGAACUUCCGGUGGAGCGGUGAAAUGCGUUGAUAUCGGAAGGAACGCCGGUGGCGAAAGCGACGGACUGGAUCUCUUCUGACGCUGAGGCGCGAAAGCUAGGGGAGCAAACGGGAUUAGAUACCCCGGUAGUCCUAGCCCUAAACGUUGAGUACUAGAUAGUAGACUUAUCAUGGGUUUACUGUCGAAGCAAAAGUAUUAAGUACUCCGCCUGGGGAGUAUGGUCGCAAGGCUG